UUAUUUAGGUCUGAUCCAAAGCCCACUGAAGUCAGUGCAAGUCUUUACAUUAAUUUCAAUAGGCUUUGAAUCAGGCCCUUAUCUC
rnacentral:pre_miRNA from 1 species